rnacentral:misc_RNA from 1 species
UUUCCGUAGGUGAACCUGCGGAGGGAUCAUUAACACGUUCCAAACCAAACUAUCAACCAAUCUGUGAACUUGUAUCCGCCUCACAUCUGAUGUAUGGUUCAUUCCAUAUAUCAGAAACUUGGAAUUGGGAUUUUGUAGUACGCUGUUGAGUCUCGAUGGUGGUUGAGAGCGACUUCGCUCUCAAAACGAUUCCAGUGUAUCGCGGAAGUCGGUUAGAGCUUUCAACGAAGCCCAAUUCGAAGGAGGCCCAAACUAAUGGAGCUGACGACUGACCAUCAGUUGUUGCUCUGUUAACCCUUCAAACGCCCUAAAGAACAAUUUUAAUAGCUACCAAGUUAUUAUAUUUUGGUCUUGAAUUAAUGUAAUCAAUUUCUUCUGCCACUGAGUGUGUCUCUCGCUUGCAAAAAGUGUGGUUUUGACUGCAGUGUGUAGCAAUUUUUUAUGUUCUUUACGGAGCAUAAAAAAUAUAUUUAUUCAAAAAACAGAGUUAAACAACUCUUAGCAAUGGAUAUCUUGGUUCUC